rnacentral:rRNA from 1 species
UACGUAGGGACCGAGCGUUGUCCGGAAUCAUUGGGCGUAAAGGGCACGUAGGCGGACUCUUAAGUCGGAGGUGAAAUCCUGGAGCUCAACUCCAGAACUGCCUUCGAUACUGAGAGUCUCGAGUCCGGGAGAGGUGAGUGGAACUGCGAGUGUAGAGGUGAAAUUCGUAGAUAUUCGCAAGAACACCAGUGGCGAAGGCGGCUCACUGGCUCGGUACUGACGCUGAGGUGCGAAAGCGUGGGGAGCAAACAGG